rnacentral:rRNA from 1 species
GAUGAACGCUGGCGGCGUGCCUAAUACAUGCAAGUCGAGCGAACAGACGAGGAGCUUGCUCCUCUGACGUUAGCGGCGGACGGGUGAGUAACACGUGGAUAACCUACCUAUAAGACUGGGAUAACUUCGGGAAACCGGAGCUAAUACCGGAUAAUAUAUUGAACCGCCUGGUUCAAUAGUGAAAGACGGUUUUGCUGUCACUUAUAGAUGGAUCCGCGCCGCAUUAGCUAGUUGGUAAGGUAACGGCUUACCAAGGCAACGAUGCGUAGCCGACCUGAGAGGGUGAUCGGCCACACCGGAACUGAGACACGGUCCCAACUCCUACGGGAGGCAGCAGUUGGGAGUCUCCCGUAAGGGGCGAAGUCUUAUCCUAGCAACGCCUCGUGGGUGAGGAAAGUUUUCGGCUCGUAAAACGCUGUUAUAAGGUAAGAACAAAUGUGUAUGUAACGAUGCUCGUGUGGACGGUACCUGAUCAGAAGGCCACGGCUACCUUCGU